UACGAAGGUCCCAAGCGUUAUCCGGAUUUAUUGGGUUUAAAGGGUGCGUAGGCGGGCCCUUAAGUCAGUGGUGAAAGCUCCGAGCUUAACUCGGAAACUGCCAUUGAUACUAUAGGUCUUGAAUUCGGUCGAGGUUGGCGGAAUGUGUCGUGUAGCGGUGAAAUGCUUAGAUAUGACACAGAACACCGAUUGCGAAGGCAGCUAGCUAGACCGACAUUGACGCUGAGGCACGAAAGCGUGGGGAUCAAACAGG
rnacentral:rRNA from 1 species